rnacentral:sRNA from 1 species
GCUCCGGUGCUGACCCAGGCUGAGUGUAAAGCCUCCUACCCUGGAAAGAUUACCAACAGCAUGUUCUGUGUGGGCUUCCUUGAGGGAGGCAAGGAUUCCUGCCAGGUGAUUUGACCCUUUCCCAUGCUGAGGCUCCCACCAAUACCCAGGCCCCACCCGGGAAAAAGAUUUGAACUCCCAAGGUGGCGGGCUCCCUUGUGCUGCACGCUGCCUGCUUAGGAAGAACAGAGAAUGGGCCACCGUGGGAAGGACGUGGAGCCACAGAGCUGGCUGGAAAGGGGUCUUUUAAGGUUCGGAGUAAAUGUAGCUAUAUUCCUCCUCCAUCUCUCUCUUUAUACAACUUGUCCCUUCUUCUCCCCAGCGUGACUCUGGUGGCCCUGUGGUCUGCAACGGACAGCUCCAAGGAGUUGUCUCCUGGGGCCAUGGCUGUGCCUGGAAGAACAGGCCUGGAGUCUACACCAAGGUCUACAACUAUGUGGACUGGAUUAAGGACACCAUCGCUGCCAACAGCUAAAGCCCCCGGUCCCUCUGCAGUCUCUAUACCAAUAAAGUGGCCCUGCUCU